rnacentral:ribozyme from 11 species
GAUUUUUUUUUUUUUUUUUUUUUUUUUUUUUUUUUUUUUU